AUUGAACGCUGGCGGCAGGCCUAACACAUGCAAGUCGAGCGGAUGAAGGGAGCUUGCUCCUGGAUUCAGCGGCGGACGGGUGAGUAAUGCCUAGGAAUCUGCCUGGUAGUGGGGGAUAACGUCCGGAAACGGGCGCUAAUACCGCAUACGUCCUGAGGGAGCAAGUGGGGGAUCUUCGGACCUCACGCUCUCAGAUGAGCCUAGGUCGGAUUAGCUAGUUGGUGGGGUAAAGGCCUACCAAGGCGACGAUCCGUAACUGGACUGAGAGGAUGAUCAGUCACACGGGAGCUGAGACACGGUCAAGACUCCUACGGGAGGCAGCAGUGGGGAAUAUUGGACAAUGGGCGAAAGCCUGAUCCAGCCAUGCCGCGUGUGUGAAGAAGGUCUUCGGAUUGUAAAGCACUUUAAGUUGGGAGGAAGGGCAGUAAGUUAAUACCUUGCUGUUUUGACGUUACCAACAGAAUAAGCACCGGCUAACUUCGUG
rnacentral:rRNA from 1 species